rnacentral:lncRNA from 1 species
AUAGUAAUAAUAAUAAUAAUAAUAGUAGUAGUAGUAGUGUAGUUAGGGAUGUCAAUGGGUGUGGAUACCCGAAAUUUUAUCCGAAUCCGAAUCCGAAUGAAACGGAUAUAUUCGAUGGAUAUGGAUAUGGAUUCGAAUAUGGAUAUAAAAAAUAGAAAUCCGACGGAUAUGGAUUCGGAUAUGGAUUUUGAUUGUACCCGACCUGAACCCGAACCAUAUAUAUAUAUAUAUAUAUAUAUAUAUAUAUAGAGAGAGAGAGAGAGAGAGAGAGAGAGAGAAUAGGGCUAGAAUACUUGUAAAAGUAUCAUGGGGGUGAUACUUGUGUGUUUUUAGCCCUUGGAUGGAGAGAUGUGAGGUUGAGAUGAUGGUAGUAGGUGGUGGUAGGUGGAAUAGUGUUUAAUCCAAGGGCUAUUAAUAAUCAAAAAGUAGAUCCAAU